rnacentral:rRNA from 1 species
AUUGAACGCUGGCGGCAGGCCUAACACAUGCAAGUCGAGCGGAUGAAGGGAGCUUGCUCCUGGAUUCAGCGGCGGACGGGUGAGUAAUACCUAGGAAUCUGCCUGGUAGUGGGGGAUAACGUCCGGAAACGGGCGCUAAUACCGCAUACGUCCUGAGGGAGAAAGUGGGGGAUCUUCGGACCUCACGCUAUCAGAUGAGCCUAGGUCGGAUUAGCUAGUUGGUGGGGUAAAGGCCUACCAAGGCGACGAUCCGUAACUGGUCUGAGAGGAUGAUCAGUCACACGGGAAGUGAGACAGGGUCCAGAGUACUACGGGAGGCAGCAGUGGGGAAUAGUGGACAAUGGGCGAAAGCCUGAUCCAGCCAUGCCGAGUGUGUGAAGAAGGUCUUCGGAUUGUAAAGAACUUUAAGUUGGGAGGAAGGGCAGUAAGUUAAGACCUUGCUGUUUUGACGUUAACAACAGAAUAAGCACCGGCUAACUUCGUG